rnacentral:lncRNA from 1 species
AUAAGAAGGGUGAGUAUAAAAAUACCCAGUAAGAGACCCUCUACUGGUCCCGUCAGGGGAAAAAUAAAUUGUUAACAUUCUAUUGGGACACCCUGUACAGUCGCAGUCUUGUGAUCCCGUAGGAUGCACAUUUCAGUCUAACGCCCGAGGGACGUACAUUUCAGUGUAGUGUUCUGCAGAAACACAUAUCAGUCUAAUGCUCCAGAAGGUGCAGAAUAAUUGGUGAUCCCGUGGGACACCUACAAGGCACACAUCCCAAUAAAAGCUAACAAUUUUUCCCCUCAAUCCAUUCGUACCAUCUUUCAGUUACUUCAAAAUAUAAAGUUCUUUCACUCAACGUUCUAACAGUCAACUUAUCUCACUUUAGCCCAAUGUCUGUCAGUAACAUACUAAUACGUCAGUCAAUUAAACUAUAUAGUCAUAACGCCUCUCAGUUCACCAGCACACAGUCAUACUUUAGUAUAACGUACACCCAGUCUAAACGACAAUCACAAGUUCACAUCCGCAUCUCAUACAAACACAAUCUACAAUUGUCGUCCUGUCUACAUCCACACACACAUAUAUAUAUUCCAAGACAAUCACAAUAUGCAUUCAACAUCAAGUCUACUUCAAUCCAUGUGUAUAUAUAUAUUUUCAGUCAUCCACAGUAUACAUUCAACACCAAACCUACAUCCAUACGUAUAUAUAUAUUGUCUCAACACAUUUACUCAAUCAGAGGUGACUAACAUUACAAUUCAAAAGCAUAGGUGAGUCCAGUAGAAAAUAAAAUCCUUACCUCACUUUUAUGCAAGUUCUUCAAUCUACUAAAUCCAAUGAAUCAAAUCCUAAAC